rnacentral:rRNA from 1 species
GGGCGUAAAGCGCACGCAGGCGGUUUGUUAAGUCAGAUGUGAAAUCCCCGGGCUCAACCUGGGAACUGCAUCUGAUACUGGCAAGCUUGAGUCUCGUAGAGGGGGGUAGAAUUCCAGGUGUAGCGGUGAAAUGCGUAGAGAUCUGGAGGAAUACCGGUGGCGAAGGCGGCCCCCUGGACGAAGACUGACGCUCAGGUGCGAAAGCGUGGGGAGCAAACAGGAUUAGAUACCCUGGUAGUCCACGCCGUAAACGAUGUCGACUUGGAGGUUGUGCCCUUGAGGCGUGGCUUCCGGAGCUAACGCGUUAAGUC